rnacentral:lncRNA from 1 species
CUUCCUAUGAGUUCUCAACAAAUUCAAGAACGAUUAGCAGAAUAUACAUUCAAAUAUGAAACGAAAAAGAAAUUGUUACUUUGAAAUGGCAUCCUCGGCACUUGUACUACUUGUUUGCUAACUGCCUUCUCCUCUCAUAUGUGUCUUGAGCUUUCUUAUUCUCAAGAUCAUGUGGUUAUCAAAAAUAAGGGAGAAGCCACCAUCGAUAUUCAGAUAUUCUAACAAAAAAUUAAGACUUCAAUACUAAUUGUAGGAACAAGUAUGUAAACUCACCUCAUAAAAAUUACAGAAAAAGGAGCCGGAGCUUAUUGUUACAUGAAUAAGGGCUAAUCACAAAGAAAAGGAACUACAGGUGAUACUAGGAGCAGAAAAUUCAAUUUUUAUAUUGGUAAACAAUACAUGAAAAUGAAAUAAAAGACGUUAUUUAACAAGAAAUAACUACAACUGCUAUAUGUUGUCCUAUUGAUUCCAAAUGUGAAGUAAUACCACAACUAACUAGAGAGAAUGAAUGUAGGGUAGGUCAAAAACAAGAUACAAGAAAGUUACCCUGAUUGUAUCAUAAUGGUUCCAUCCAACCUUUAAUGAAAGCUUUCCCAAAGCAGUAUGUAUGUCCUGCCUCGAGCCUCUAUAUCCUAGACAAGAGGAGGGUAGUAUAUCCGUAUAAAAAAUAAUACUAUGUGUAGAUUAAUAUUGAGUGUAUCAUGAAUGAUCAUUCUCUUCAUCUUUUCAUAUGUAGAUGGAACACCUUCAUAAAUAAUUUAUGGGUGUUGCGCGGCAACUUACUUUAGCGUAUUUUGCUAUAUGUACACUAAUAUUUGUAUCGUUAGGCCUAGUUACAUGAAAUCCGGAAAAUCAACUAAAAAGUAUGUAUUAAGAUUUAAUUCCAAUUUAAAAUAUAAAAAAACUAAGUGAUUUAAGUAGAGAAAGAAGCAGAUAAUAAAUAGAUGUGAGUUGUGUUGUACUCUAUCCCCUUUUCUUCAAUCUCUGCGUGCUUUUAAUAUGAUAUUGUUCUAAGCAACUCUCUUUGUGAUAUUUCUUUUCUUGUUUCCUCCUUCUAUUAUGCUGCAACAGUAUCACUACUUCAUAGACACCUAUCAAACUUUUGCUUGAAUGGAGAGUUAAUUUUUUUUCAAAUAUUUGGAGGAUAUAAUAUUGGUCAGCCAAGUUUACCACACUUUGAAAGAAUCUGCUCAUAUCUCCAUCGUGUAGUCUCCCUCAUUUUUCGAUUCUUAUUCCAAGUUAAAGCAGAACUAAUCUAAAUUUGUAUCUACUUACGAGAAUUAAUAUCAACUUACACCUAAUUCUCUUUUCACAACUUUCAUUCAUGAUAAACCCCAGUAAAACCGCAAUACCAAUCAUACAUCUAAAGAAAGGUGAGACCAAAUUCUCUUAAAUGGAAAGAAUAGGCAUACCAUGUUUAUAAGAUAAUCCUAUAUGUUUCAUAAUAUACUUCAUGUCCAGAGGAUUCACUAUAAAGAUCCCCUUUAACAGAAAUACUUUUUCUUUCUAUUCUCUCGUCCCUCUCUCCAAAUUCAUAUUCCUAGUUCUCUAAUCUUCAAUUAAUAACCCACUGCAAGUAAUAAGGAGGUAUCCAAUUACCCUCGAUAAUUUACAGUUAAAAUAUUAGGGUUGAUUGUAAAAAUAAGAUAUUGGGUAUGUGGGAGAACAAUCACCAUCUUCUUCAUGCUUACUAGACAAUCCUAAUCAACUCAACAAAGCCAAAAUGAAGAUAAGUUGUCUUACCGUGAGAUGGUGGCGGCAAUGGUGAAAUAGAGAAGAGUUAGUUAACGGCGACUGAGCAGCGGCGAUGAGAGUCUUUACCUAGGGAUGGAUGGUGACCAUCGACGGUGAGACAGAGAAGGCACGAUGGCAGCAAAAAGUUACUUUGGGAUGGUGGCCAACUAUAACGAGAAGAGGGCAGCGGCGAUGAUAAACUUCAUUUGUAUUUUUGAAAUAUUUUCCAAAUUUUUGAACUUAGUUGUUGAUUAGAAAUGGAGGGAA